rnacentral:rRNA from 1 species
CGGCCCCUGGCACAAUACUGACGCUCAGGUGCGAAAGCGUGGGGAGCAAACAGGUAUUAGAUACCCUGGUAGUCCACGCCGUAAACGAUGUCUACUAGAUGUUCGUGGUCUUGUACCGUGAGUAUCGCAGCUAACGCAUUAAGUAGACCGCCUGGGGAGUACGGUCGCAAGAUUAAAACUCAAAUGAAUUGACGGGGGCCCGCACAAGCGGUGGAGCAUGUGGUUUAAUUCGACGCAACGCGAAGAACCUUACCUACUCUUGACAUCUACAGAACUUGGUAGAGAUACCUAGGUGCCUUCGGGAACUGUAAGACAGGUGCUGCAUGGCUGUCGUCAGCUCGUGUUGUGAAAUGUUGGGUUAAGUCCCGCAACGAGCGCAACCCUUAUCCUUAGUUGCCAGCGAUUCGGUCGGGAACUCUAGGGAGACUGCCGGUGAUAAACCGGAGGAAGGUGGGGACGACGUCAAGUCAUCAUGGCCCUUACGAGUAGGGCUACACACGUGCUACAAUGGUAUGUACAGAGGGAGGCAAGCUGGCGACAGUGAGCGGAUCUCUUAAAGCAUAUCGUAGUCCGGAUUGGAGUCUGCAACUCGACUCCCAUGAAGUCGGAAUCGCUAGUAAUCGCAAAUCAGAAUGUUUGCGGUGAAUACGUUCCCGGGCCUUGUACACACCGCCCGUCACACCAUGGGAGUGGGGUUGCAAAAGAAGU